rnacentral:rRNA from 1 species
AGAAUCAACGCUGGCGGCGUGCCUAACACAUGCAAGUCGAACGAGAAAGUGGAGCAAUCCAUGAGUAAAGUGGCGACCGGGUGAGUAACACGUGACUAACCUACCUUUCAGUGGGGAAUAACCUCGGGAAACCGGGGCUAAUACCGCAUAAUGUCUUCGGACCAAAGGAGCAAUUCGCUGGAAGAGGGGGUCGCGGCCGAUUAGCUAGUUGGCGGGGUAACGGCCCACCAAGGCAAUGAUCGGUAGCCGGCCUGAGAGGGCGCACGGCCACACUGGAACUGAAACACGGUCCAGACUCCUACGGGAGGCAGCAGUGGGAAUUUUGCGCAAUGGGGGAAACCCUGACGCAGCAACGCCGCGUGGAGGAUGAAGCCCCUUGGGGUGUAAACUCCUUUCGAUCGGGACGAUUAUGACGGUACCGGAUGAAGAAGCACCGGCUAACUCUGCGCCAGCAGCCGC